UAUUGCAUUAACAUUUAUACUUUGCUCUUAUUGUCAGGGAACUGAAACCGUUCGAGCCAUAUUCUUUAACAGAUCUAAGAUUGGAGAACUACACUUGGAUUGUGCAGACUUCAAAAAGAUGUCGAAUCUAAGUUUACUCAAUCUCGACGAUUCUGGCUUUGGCAACUAUUGCCAAUUAAAAGUUUCUCUUCCCAAUUCUCUUUGUUAUCUUUCGUGGGCGGAAUAUCCUUUGAAAUCUAUGCCAUCAAUUUUUUUUAUUUUUCCAGAAAAUCUUGUUGAGCUUCGAAUGCACGGCAGCAAAGUUGAGCAACUUUGGAAUAAAGACCAGAAUCUUGAGAACUUAUAAGUGAUGGAUCUUAGUUUCUCCACUCAUCUUAUUAAAGUCCCAGAUCUCUCUCUAAGUCGAAAAUUGAAUGCUCGAAUCUCAAAUAUGCCAAGCAACAUUGAAUUCUUAAAUUUGUCUAAAACUGCAAUAAAGGAUUUGCCUUCAUCAGUUUGGUCUCACAAAAAGAUUUCUUACUUGGAUAUUCGAUUUUGUAAUGACCUUAGGAAUCUCCCAAGCUGCUGUUGUAAGCUGAAACUACCCUCUGUUUUCAGCCUAGAGGGCUCCUCAUGUCUUGGCAAGUUUUCGGAGCUUCCAAGGGAUCUAACAGUGUUAGAAAUGAUAGGAGCAAAAAUAGAAGUGUUGCCCUCAUGGUCUCAAUACAAUUCGACUACUUGAUUGCAAAAGAUUUGUGACUCUUCCAUCGACCAUUUGUAAGUUAAAAUCUCUUAUAAAUCUUGAUCUCGGUGGUUGCUCAAAAUUCAAGUACUUGCCAGAAAUCUUGGAGCCUACGGGAAAUUUGAAGUUUCUUUCAUUAGAAGGAACAAAUAUUAAAGUGCUACCCUCAUCAAUCGAAUUUCUCUUUAGUCUCGUCAAAAUUGAACUGACAAAUUGCAAAAAGUUUGUGGUGUCUCCCAACAAGCAUUUGUAAGUUGAAAUGUCUUUCCGACCUUGAUCUCACCGGUUACUCUAAAUUUGACGACUACCCAGAAAUCUUUGAGCCUGUGGGAGAACUGAAAAUUCUUUCAUUAGAAGGAGCAUCUGUUAAAGAGCUGCCCUCAUCAAUCGAAUGUCUCUUUGGUCUCUCGAAAAUUGAAGUGAAAAAUUCCAAAAGGUGGUUGCGUCUCCAAAAGGCUGUUAAAGAGCCUAUGAAAGAUGAAUUUUCUUUCAUUAAAAGGAACAGCGGUUAAAGAGCUGGGUUUUGAUUUCAGUAUCAGCAGAUGUAGAACUUGAAGAAGAAUUUGUAGAUGCAUCAGAUGUAGAAGAAAUUGAAGUCUCAUCAAAUGUUACUGAAACUGUUCGAGUCAUAUUAUCAUAAUCACAUUUGCCAGGACGGAGGCCAAUUUCAUUGAGAACGUUGUCGAAGAUAUUUUGACCAAAUUGAAUCGCAAAUCGUCAAGUGUUUUAAAGGGCCUAGUUGGAAUUUAAUGGAAAAUUGAGCAAAUAGAAAGGUUAUUAUGCAUUAAUUCACCAGAUGUUUUCACUGUAGGUAUUUGGGGCAUGGUUGGUAUUGGGAUGACCACUCUUGAUGCUGUGUAUCACUCUGUUUCUUCCAAAUUUGAAGCUUCUUGUUUUCUUGCUAAUGUUAUGGAGGAGUCAGAAAGCAUGGACUAAAGCACUUGCGAAAUGUCCUUCAUGAGAUAUUAAACGAAAAAGAUCUAACUAUUGACACUCCUUUGGUAUCAACUUUUGUUCGAGAAAGGCUAAGCCAUAGAAAGGUCCUCAUUGUUCUAUUGAAACAUGUUACACAGAGGUUUUCAGAAUGGUGGUAGAUUUUGCCGGAGGCAUGCCAUUAGCUGUUAAGAUUUUGGGUUCCGUAUUCCUUCACUGCGACAACAAUGAAGACUGGAAAGAUGAAUGGAAUAAGUUAAAAAAUUUCCCAACCAAGAUAUUGAGAAUAUGUUGAGACUAAGUUAUGAUGGAUUGGACAAAAAUGCAGAGGAGAUAUUUCUUUUUAUAGCAUGUUUCUAUAAAGGGAUGACAAUAGAUUUUGCAAAGGAAAUGGUAUAUAGACGUGGUUUAUUUGCGGGUGGAAUUAAAGUUCUCAUUGAUAAGUCUCUUGUAUCAAGUUCAAGAUGGAACAGCCUAGAGAUGCAUGAUUUGGUUCAGGAAAUGGGGAACUGAAACCGUUCGAGCCAUAUUCUUUAACAGAUCUAAGAUUGGAGAACUACACUUGGAUUGUGCAGACUUCAAAAAGAUGUCUAAUCUAAGUUUACUCAAUCUGGACGAUUCUGACUUUGGCAACUAUUGCCAAUUAAAAGUUUCUCUUCCCAAUUCUCUUUGUUAUCUUUCGUGGGAGGAAUAUCUUUCGAAAUCUAUGCCAUCAAAUUUUUUUCCAGAAAAUCUUGUUGAGCUUCGAAUGCACGUUAGCAAAGUUGAGCAACUUUGGAAUAAAGACCAGAAUCUUGUGAACUUAAAAGUGAUGGAUCUCAGUUUCUCCACUCAUCUUAAUAAAGUCCCAGAUCUCUCUCAAAGUCGAAAAUUGGUGCAUAUAAAUCUUUUCGGCUGUACAAGUUUGGUUCAAAUACUUCGUAUUUUCAGUGUCUUGACAAGCUUACUCAGCUUGACCUGGGAGAAUGCUCGAAUCUCAAAUAUAUUCCACAGAUGCCAAGCAACAUUGAAUACUUAAACUUGUCUAAAACUGCAAUAAAGGAAAUGCCUUCAUCAGUUUGGUCUCACAAAACGAUUUCUUACUUGGAUAUUCGAUUUUGUAAUGACCUUAGGAAUUUCCCAAGCAGCAGUUGUAAGCUGAAACUACCCCCUGGUUUCAGUCUAGAGGGCUGCUCAUGUCUUGGCAAGUUUUCGGAGCUUUGAAGGGAUCUAACAGUGUUAGAAAUGAUAAGGGCAAAAAUAGAAGUGUUGCCCUCAUCAAUCGAGUAUCUCUUUGGUCUCAACACAAUUUGACUACUUGAUUGCAAAAGAUUUGUGACUCUUCCAUUGGCCAUUUGUAAGUUAAAGUCUCUUAUAAAUCUUUGUCUCGUUAGUUGCUCAAAAUUCAAGUACUUCCCAGAAAUCUUGGAGCCUAUGGGAAAUCUGAAGUUCUGAAGUUUCUUUCAUUAAAAGGGACAAAUAUUAAAGAGCUACCCUCAGCAAUCGAAUUUCUCUUUAGUCUCGUCAAAAUUGAACUGACAAAUUGCAAAAAGUUUGUGUCUCCCAACAAGCAUUUGUAAGUCGAAAUGUCUUUCUGACCUUGAUCUCACUGGUUGCUCUAAAUUUGAGGACUUCCCAGAAAUCUUCGAGCCUACGGGAGAACUGAAAAUUCUUUCAUUAGAAGGAACAUCUGUUAAAGAGCUACCCUCAUCAAUGGAAUGUCUCUUUGGACUCUCGAAAAUUGAAGUGAAAAAUUCCAAAAGGUUGUUGCGUCUCCAAAAGGCUGUUAAAGAGCCUAUGAAAGAUGAAUUUUCUUUCAUUGAAAGGAACAGUGGUUAAAGAGCUGGGGUUUGAUUUCAGUAUCAGCAGAAGUAGAACUUGAAAAAGAAUUUGUAGAUGCAUCAGAUGUAGAAGAAAUUGAAGUCUCAUCAGAUGUCAGGGAAUCCAUUCCCCAAUAAAUGUGGGGAUGAAGAAUCUCCAAUAUGAAUAUUGCAGAUAAGAAAGCGGGGAUGGGGAAUAAAAAGCUCAAUGAAAAUGAAGAUGGGAAUAGCAUACCCACCUUUCAUUUGCUUCAUUGUCAUUCCUAUAGGCAUGAGCUUCAGCUCCCAAAAAGUUUCUAAGUUUCCAUACAUGA